rnacentral:lncRNA from 1 species
GCUCUACCAUCUUAGCUCUCUCAAUCAAAUCCACAAAUUCUGUAAUUCGCUGUGACACCAGCUGUACUUUGAUUUCAUCUCUCAAUCCUCGUAGAAAUCUCUUGCAGCUAUCAGCUUCUGUUGGAAUGAACUCAGUAGCAUAUCGGCUCAAUCGAGAAAAUUCUCUUUCAUAAUCCACUACUGAUAAGUUACCUUGCUUCAACAUUAGAAAUUCCUGCUUUUUAUCUUCAAUAUAUAGCUCUCCAACAUACUUCUUCUGAAAUUCCUUCUGAAAUAAUUCUCAUGUUACCUGUUCUGCUGGCAAGUGUCGGAUUACAGAUUCCCACCACAGAUAAGCCUCACCCUGAAGUAAUGAAACGGCACAGAUUAAACAUUCUCGGGGGGUACAUUCUAAUUGUUGCAGCACUCGUUUAGUUGAUUCCAUCCA